rnacentral:rRNA from 1 species
GACGAACGCUGGCGGCGUGCCUAAUACAUGCAAGUAGAACGCUGAGGGAGGAGCUUGCUUCUCUGGAUGAGUUGCGAACGGGUGAGUAACGCGUAGGUAACCUGCCUGGUAGCGGGGGAUAACUAUUGGAAACGAUAGCUAAUACCGCAUAAGAGUAGAUGUUGCAUGACAUUUGCUUAAAAGGUGCAAUUGCAUCACUACCAGAUGGACCUGCGUUGUAUUAGCUAGUUGGUGGGGUAACGGCUCACCAAGGCGACGAUACAUAGCCGACCUGAGAGGGGGAUCGGCCACACUGGGACUGAGACACGGCCCAGACUCCUACGGGAGGCAGCAGUAGGGAAUCUUCGGCAAUGGACGGAAGUCUGACCGAGCAACGCCGCGUGAGUGAAGAAGGUUUUCGGAUCGUAAAGCUCUGUUGUAAGAGAAGAACGAGUGCGAGAGUGGAAAGUUCACACUGUGACGGUAUCUUACCAGAAAGGGACGGCUAACUACGUG